ensembl:snRNA LOC120101388 U1 spliceosomal RNA
GAAAAGAUCUAGCAGAAGAGCCAUGAUCACAAAGGUGGUUCUCCCAGGGCAAGGCUCACCCAUUGCACUUGGGAUAGGCUAAACUUUGUCCUUUCCCCAAAUGUGGGGAACUUGACUGCACAAUUUGUGAUAAUGGGGGACCAUG